UGCAGAGGUCUCGAGCGUUGUUCGGAUUCAUUGGGCGUAAAGGGCGCGUAGGCGGCGGGGUAAGUCUGGUGUGAAAUCUCGGAGCUCAACUCCGAAAUUGCACUGGAUACUGCUCUGCUAGAGGGCUGGAGAGGAGAUCGGAAUUCACGGUGUAGCAGUGAAAUGCGUAGAUAUCGUGAGGAAGACCAGUGGCGAAGUCGGAUCUCUGGACAGCUCCUGACGCUGAGGCGCGAAGGCUAGGGGAGCAAACGGG
rnacentral:rRNA from 1 species